UGGGGAAUUUUGGACAAUGGGCGCAAGCCUGAUCCAGCAAUGCCGCGUGCAGGAUGAAGGCCUUCGGGUUGUAAACUGCUUUUGUACGGAACGAAACGGUCCCUUCUAAUACAGGGGGCUAAUGACGGUACCGUAAGAAUAAGCACCGGCUAACUACGUGCCAGCAGCCGCGGUAAUACGUAGGGUGCGAGCGUUAAUCGGAAUUACUGGGCGUAAAGCGUGCGCAGGCGGUUAUGUAAGACAGAUGUGAAAUCCCCGGGCUCAACCUGGGACCUGCAUUUGUGACUGCAUAGCUAGAGUACGGUAGAGGGGGAUGGAAUUCCGCGUGUAGCAGUGAAAUGCGUAGAUAUGCGGAGGAACACCGAUGGCGAAGGCAAUCCCCUGGACCUGUACUGACGCUCAUGCACGAAAGCGUGGGGAGCAAACAGGAUUAGAUACCCUGGUAGUCCACGCCCUAAACGAUGUCAACUGGUUGUUGGGUCUUCACUGACUCAGUAACGAAGCUAACGCGUGAAGUUGACCGCCUGGGGAGUACGGCCGCAAGGUUG
rnacentral:rRNA from 1 species